rnacentral:tRNA from 1 species
GGUUCCGUAGUGAAGUGGUUAUCACGUUUGCUUUACACGCAAAAGGUCCCCAGUUCGAUCCUGGGCGGAACCA